ACGGUAUUUAACCAGAAAGUCACGGCUAACUACGUGCCAGCAGCCGCGGUAAUACGUAGGUGGCAAGCGUUAUCCGGAUUUAUUGGGCGUAAAGAGAGUGCAGGCGGUUUUCUAAGUCUGAUGUGAAAGACCUUCGGCUUAACCGGAGAAGUGCAUCGGAAACUAGGAUAACUUGAGUGCAGAAGAGGGUAGUGGAACUCCAUGUGUAGCGGUGGAAUGCGUAGAUAUAUGGAAGAACACCAGUGGCGAAGGCGGCUACCUGGUCUGCAACUGACGCUGAGACUCGAAAGCAUGGGUAGCGAACAGGAUUAGAUACCCUGGUAG
rnacentral:rRNA from 1 species